rnacentral:lncRNA from 1 species
CUAUCCCCCAUUUGCGCCACACGGGUAACCUCUAACAAGCUAGAAAAGUUACUCAUACUUGACUAAAGCCAGAGCCAUUAUAGCCCUCAAGGUUGCACUUUCAUCCCGGUUAUCACUUACGAAUAAAUCCUCAAGUUGUUAAAAAGUCAUUAUUAUCAUUUGUUGCUUUAUAUCAAUCUAGUCACAAGAUCAUGGUCAUAGAAUUAAAACCCAAAUGCUAUACUUGCCUUGAUUGAAUUGCUCCUGCUGGUCCUGCUGAUCUUACUUGCUUCCAAGGCUCUGAUCUUGAUCACCGAAGUAAAGCUCACUGUCUAAUCUCGAUCAUCGAUUAUCGACACACAAGCAUUCAAGGCCACACAUACACAAAGCAAACAAAGCUACAAUUAGAACAGUACACCAACAGAUCAAAAAUGAAAUAAAAUAUUUAAAAAUAGAACCUACGUUUCGCUACGAUCACAUAGAUACGAAGAUCACGAAAAUCGGAGCCAAAACGACCAAAUUACGGAUUUACGGCGAUUUCCUAUAGGCAAUUAAUUAAUUAAACCUAACCCUGAAAAUAAAAAGUUGCAAACUACAGAAACAGUAGUACUAACAUGUAGAGAAUUUAAUUACGAAUCUAACGCAAUUUGAACGGGUCAAAUCGGAGCUAAAACGAAUAUUUUAUGGCCUAAACAAAAUCAGUGGCAAUUUAGUAAAUACUGAAAACGUAUUUUGAAGCAAGCCGCGAUAGUUUACGUUUUCAACACAGCAAGUCGUAUUUUUUUUCGAAUGCGCCAGGGACCGCGGGUUCUAUAUUUAAAAAGUUGAGGGGCUCUUUAACAAAAUUUCAGGCCGAAAGGGUAUUGGCUAUCUUGAGCCGUUGGAUCUCAGAUGAACGCGCAGGAUUAAAACAAAAGAAGAAAAAAGAAAAAAAACAAAAAGAAGAGAGAGGGAGGGGGUGGUGCCUGCUGCCGGAAGGGAAGGAGGCCACGGCAGGCAGCCAUUAACGGCGACAUGGAGCUCACCGGCGUUGGGCGUUAGGAGGCUACGGGCCACCGUUUUCGAUUCCGAUUGAAUUGGGAGAAAGAGGAGAGCGAUGCGAGUCCAUUCCAACCCAUAAACGCGGUCGAGGGGCCGGUUUCCGAGAAGGUUCACGGCGACGCCAUGAACGUCACGACGGAGCUCGCGGAAAUAACUCGUGAGGCCACGGUUCCGCACGGGAAAAAGGCGAGGAGGGAGAGGGGAAGGAGGCACGCUCACCACGGCGAUAAUCGGGGGCGGAUACGGCUCGGUUUUUGAGUUGAGCACGGAUGUCGGCGGCGGCGUCCUUCGCUACGGCUGCUGUGCGGUCCAAGGCGAAGGCAGGGGCAGGGAGAGAGGGGAAUGGG